rnacentral:rRNA from 1 species
GACGAACGCUGGCGGCGUGCCUAAUACAUGCGAGUUGAGCGCUGAAGGUUGGUACUUGUACCAACUGGAUGAGCAGCGAACGGGUGAGUAACGCGUGGGGAAUCUGCAUUUGAGCGGGGGACAACAUUUGGAAACGAAUGCUAAUACCGCAUAAAAACUUUAAACACAAGUUUUAAGUUUGAAAGAUGCAAUUGCAUCACUCAAAGAUGAUCCCGCGUUGUAUUAGCUAGUUGGUGAGGUAAAGGCUCACCAAGGCGAUGAUACAUAGCCGACCUGAGAGGGUGAUCGGCCACAAUGGGACUGAGACACGGCCCAAACUCCUACGGGAGGCAGCAGUAGGGAAUCUUCGGAAAUGGACGAAAGGCUGACCGAGCAACGCCGCGGGAGUGAAGAAGGUUUUCGGAUCGUAAAACUCUGUUGGUAGAGAAGAACGUUGGUGAGAGUGGAAAGCUCAUCAAGUGACGGUAACUACCCAGAAAGGGACGGCUAACUACGUG